UACGUAGGGCGCAAGCGUUGUCCGGAAUUAUUGGGCGUAAAGAGCUCGUAGGUGGCGUGUCGCGUCUGCCGUGAAAGCCCAUGGCUUAACUGUGGGUCUGCGGUGGAUACGGGCAGGCUGGAGGCUGGUAGGGGCAAGCGGAAUUCCUGGUGUAGCGGUGAAAUGCGCAGAUAUCAGGAGGAACACCGGUGGCGAAGGCGGCGACCUGGGUAGAUACUGACGCUGAGGUGCGAAAGCGUGGGGAGCAAACAGG
rnacentral:rRNA from 1 species